AUUGAACGCUGGCGGCAUGCCUUACACAUGCAAGUCGAACGGUAACAGGUCUUCGGAUGCUGACGAGUGGCGAACGGGUGAGUAAUACAUCGGAACGUGCCUAGUAGUGGGGGAUAACUACUCGAAAGAGUGGAUACUACCGCAUGAGAUCUACGGAUGAAAGCAGGGGAUCGCAAGACCUUGUGCUACUAGAGCGGCCGAUGGCAGAUUAGGUAGUUGGUGGGAUAAAAGCUUACCAAGCCGACGAUCUGUAGCUGGCCUGAGAGGACGAUCAGCCACACUGGGACUGAGACACGGCCCAGACUCCUACGGGAGGCAGCAGUGGGGAAUUUUGGACAAUGGGCGCAAGCCUGAUCCAGCAAUGCCGCGUGCAGGAUGAAGGCCUUCGGGUUGUAAACUGCUUUUGUACGGAACGAAAAGCCCCGGGUUAAUACCCUGGGGUCAUGACGGUACCGUAAGAAUAAGCACCGGCUAACUACGUGCCAGCCGCCGCCGUAA
rnacentral:rRNA from 1 species